CCAGGGCGAGGAUGCCAACAGGAUAACGACUUAAGGAUAAGGGUCAGGAGCGCCAGGAGGCGAAGACUCAGGAUUGUCAGGACGACCGGCGCCUGGAGGCGUUUUUUUUAACAGGAAACGGAACCGUAUCACGGACGGUAGUAGCCAAGGGAUAAACAGGGGUUUGUUGCAGGCAAACAGGGGAAUGUCUGACCCGUUAAGGGUUGUGAGUCAGGAAAAAAAGGCGACAGAUUGCUCUGUCGCCUUUUUUUCUUUGCUUGCUU
rnacentral:sRNA from 1 species